AACGUAGGAGACAAACGUUAUCCGGAGUUACUGGGCGUAAAGGGCGCGUAGGCGGCCUGCUAAGUCGGAUGUGAAAUCCCUCGGCUCAACCGAGGAACUGCAUCCGAUACUGGCGGGCUUGAAUCCGGGAGAGGGAUGUGGAAUUCCAGGUGUAGCGGUGAAAUGCGUAGAUAUCUGGAGGAACACCGGUGGCGAAGGCGGCAUCCUGGACCGGUAUUGACGCUGAGGCGCGAAAGCUAGGGGAGCAAACGGG
rnacentral:rRNA from 1 species